UGCCAGCAGCCGCGGUAAUACGGAGGGUGCUAGCGAUGUUAGGAAUUAGUGGGCGUAAAGCGCGCGUCGGCGGCUAUUUAAGUCAGAUGUGAAAGUCCACGGCUCAACCGUGGAAGUGCAUUUGAAACUGGAUGGCUUGAGUACUGGAGGGGGUGGUGGAAUUCCCGGUGUAGAGGUGAAAUUCGUAGAUAUCGGGAGGAAUACCGGUGGCGAAGGCGACCACCUGGCCAGAUACUGGCGCUGAGGUGCGAAAGCGUGGGGAGCAAACAGGAUUAGAUA
rnacentral:rRNA from 1 species